rnacentral:rRNA from 1 species
UACGUAGGGCGCAAGCGUUGUCCGGAAUUAUUGGGCGUAAAGAGCUCGUAGGUGGUCUGUUGCGUCCGCUGUGAAAACCCAGGGCUUAACCCUGGGCUGGCAGUGGAUCGGGCAGACUAGAGGUAGGUAGGGGAGAAUGGAAUUCCCGGUGUAGCGGUGAAAUGCGCAGAUAUCAGGAGGAACACCGAUGGCGAAGGCAGGUCUCUGGGCCGAUACUGACGCUGAGGAGCGAAAGCGUGGGGGAGCGAACAGG